UUCCAGAAACCCGCGAGUCUUCUCCGGGUCACAGGUUUAUCCCGGCCCAGUUCUUCCUUUUCUCCGUGGCCUUUCUCUUCCUCCAGGAGGAGCGAAGACCCCUGAUUUAUGAUCUUCACGGAAUGACGACUGCAUUCUGUUCAAUGUGAACUCCACCGCCGUGCAACAGUGUAUGACAAAGCGCGUGGGCUGGUGCGUUCUCGGGGUGAACACACUCAUGAAGCGAGCACCCAGAGAGAGCAGAGGAGGGCCCCACCCCUCCCCUGACUCCCAACGCCACGGGUGAAUUUUGCCUGGCUUGGAACCUCACAGGAGAGGGUACCAACUGAUUUACGCAGCACAUAAUCUCUUGUCUGGAUUCCUUGACUCAGUAUCAUGUUGCUACACCUGGUGACUGGGUGGCAGGCACUGAGGGGGGAACUAGACGGGAUGAGUGAGCACCGGGUGUCGUACUGCGUGUCGGCAAAUUGAGCUCCAAUAAAAAAAUAUCCAAUAAAAAAACA